rnacentral:lncRNA from 1 species
AACAGUUAAUAGUAGUCAAUUCGGUAACCCCUCAAUGAUAACAGUCAAACAAAUUUUUCAUCUUUCCAUUUUCCUUAUAAGUUUAAAGCAUCAUUUAUUUUUACCAUCCAAACCCGAUGGGGGUCCACAAUCCAAUCUUAGCCUAGUAAAGGCCUGUAUCCUAGAUUAAACCAUGUGGUUACCCUCUCAACCAUCACUUCUGAAGUAAAGUUGAGGGCUCGACCCCCACACAUGGCAUAUCAUAUAAA